UCUGGAGGUUUGGCAAAUGAGUCAAAGGCCGAGGCAGCACCUACAGCUGGGGGAAGAGAGGGAGAGGAGAUGGAUUGGCAAAAAGAGCAGGUGCUGGUCUAACCCCUUUCCAGAGAAGCUACCCUCGUAACACAUACAGUAUCUGCUGCCCCCUUGGCUCUGCCUGGAAGUCCUCCAGCCCCUCACUCACAUGCUCUGGCCCUCUUCUUACCAGGAGCUGGGCCCUUCAGACAUUCUCCAUAGCCCUCACUAUGAAAGCCCGUCCCACAGGCGGUGGAGGCUCAAGGUGAUACCUAUUCAUGAUCCCUCACCUCGACAUAGUGCUUUACAGUUUAUAAUGUUUCUUCAUCCACAGAGUACCUGAUUUUCAUAACAACCCUGUGAGGUAGGUAGGGCAGGUGAUGUGCCCAUUUUAUGGAUGAGCCAGCCAGCGCACAGAGGGUGGAAUGGGUUUGCCUGAAGUCACAGAGCGGGGAUAGAAUCCAGGCCAGCAGAAAGGGGCAGGAAGGCCAAAGGCAGAUGUUUUUCAACCAGCCUACCUCCCUAGGUCAGUGUCCAAGAGAAAUUGGCCACAGUGAACAUGGGCGGAAAGGAGACCGCAGCAUCCGGGCAUGACAUGGACAGCUUUGGAGGGCAGCCUUGCACUCAGCAGCUGCUCACUCCCCAUGUGGAGAAAAUAUGUCCAUGAGCCCGCGGUGUUUUCAGCACCAUGUGCCUGGGCCCUCCUUAGUCUUGAUCGACCGUAUCACAUAAUCCUAACAUAUCAGAGCUGGAACUAUCCAAUAAGCACACUGUGCAGAAGGGGAAACUGAGGCCAUGACAGUGACAUGCCCCAAGUCAUAGAGUAAGUGGCAGCAAAUUCAGAACCCAAAUCCAGGGGUCUCUGAUCAGGAUCCCUGUGCAUCCCACUUUGCUGUUAACUCAGUCAUCAGCCCGUGCAGGGUGGGACUAGGGCUGCUACACCCUCACACCUAUUUCAUCUAAUAAACAUGUCAGUGCUUACUAUAUGCCAAGCACUACUCUGCUCUCUCUUUACAAAUACUCAGUCCAUGUCUCAGGCCCUGUCCAUCCCACGCACCCCAGCCCACU